GUAGUCGCUUCGGCAGCACGUAUACUAAAUUUGGAACAAUACAGCAUGGCCCCUGCUCAAGGACAACACGCAAAUUCGUGAAGCGCUCCAUAUUUUU
ensembl:snRNA U6 U6 spliceosomal RNA